CCUACGGUAGGCAGCAGUGGGGAAUAUUGGACAAUGGGGGGAACCCUGAUCCAGCGACGCCUCGUGAGUGAAGAAGUAUCUCGGUAUGUUAAGCUCUAUCAGCCGGGAAGAAAAUGACGGUACCUGACUACGAAGCCCCGGCUAACUACGUGCCAGCAGCCGCGGUAUUACGUAGGGGGCCAGCGUUAUACGGAUUUAUUGGGUGUAAAGGGAGCGUAGACGGUGCAGCAAGUCUGCUGUGAAAGGGCGGGGCCAAACCCCGGGACUGCAUUGGAAACUGUUGAACUGGAGUACAGGAGAGGUAAGCGGAAUGCGUGGUGUAGCGGUGAAAUGCGUAGAUAUGAGGAGGAACACCAGUGGCGAAGGCGGCUUACUGGACUGUAACUGACGUUGAGGCUCGAAAGCGUGGGGAGCAAACAGGAUUAGAUACCCUUGUAGUC
rnacentral:rRNA from 1 species